CAGUAGCCACGGGAAUACGGAGGAUCCAAGCGUUAUCCGGAUUUAUUGGGUUUAAAGGGUGCGUAGGUGGCCUGUUAAGUCAGGGGUGAAAGACGGCAGCUUAACUAUCGCAGUGCCUUUGAUACUGACGGGCUUGAAUGAACUAGAGGUAGGCGGAAUGUGACAAGUAGCGGUGAAAUGCAUAGAUAUGUCACAGAACACCAAUUGCGAAGGCAGCUUACUAUGGUUUUAUUGACACUGAGGCACGAAAGCGUGGGGAUCAAACAGGAUUAGAUACCCGCGUAGUCCCUGUCUCUUAUAC
rnacentral:rRNA from 1 species